rnacentral:rRNA from 1 species
GAGUGGCGGACGGGUGAGUAACACGUGGGUAACCUGCCCAGAAGCAGGGGAUAACACCUGGAAACAGAUGCUAAUACCGUAUAACAGAGAAAACCGCCUGGUUUUCUUUUAAAAGAUGGCUCUGCUAUCACUUCUGGAUGGACCCGCGGCGCAUUAGCUAGUUGGUGAGGUAACGGCUCACCAAGGCGAUGAUGCGUAGCCGACCUGAGAGGGUAAUCGGCCACAUUGGGACUAGGACACGGCCCAGACUCCUACGGGAGGCAGCAGUAGGGAAUCUUCCACAAUGGACGCAAGUCUGAUGGAGCAACGCCGCGUGAGUGAAGAAGGGUUUCGGCUCGUAAAGCUCUGUUGUUAAAGAAGAACGUGGGUGAGACUAACUGUUCACCCAGUGACGGUAUUUAACCAGAAAGCCACGGCUAACUACGUGCCAGCAGCCGCGGUAAUACGUAGGUGGCAAGCGUUAUCCGGAUUUAUUGGGCGUAAAGCGAGCGCAGGCGGUCUUUUAAGUCUAAUGUGAAAGCCUUCGGCUCAACCGAAGAAGUGCAUUGGAAACUGGGAGACUUGAGUGCAGAAGAGGACAGUGGAACUCCAUGUGUAGCGGUGAAAUGCGUAGAUAUAUGGAAGAACACCAGUGGCGAAGGCGGCUGUCUGGUCUGUAACUGACGCUGAGGCUCGAAAGCAUGGGUAGCGAACAGGAUUAGAUACCUCGGUAGUCCAUGCCGUAAACGAUGAUUACUAAGUGUUGGAGGGUUUCCGCCCUUCAGUGCUGCAGCUAACGCAUUAAGUAAUCCGCCUGGGGAGUACGACCGCAAGGUUGAAACUCAAAAGAAUUGACGGGGGCCCGCACAAGCGGUGGAGCAUGUGGUUUAAUUCGAAGCUACGCGAAGAACCUUACCAGGUCUUGACAUCUUCUGCCAACCUAAGAGAUUAGGCGUUCCCUUCGGGGACAGAAUGACAGGUGGUGCAUGGUUGUCGUCAGCUCGUGUCGUGAGAUGUUGGGUUAAGUCCCGCAACGAGCGCAACCCUUAUUACUAGUUGCCAGCAUUCAGUUGGGCACUCUAGUGAGACUGCCGGUGACAAACCGGAGGAAGGUGGGGACGACGUCAAAUCAUCAUGCCCCUUAUGACCUGGGCUACACACGUGCUACAAUGGAUGGUACAACGAGUCGCGAAACCGCGAGGUUUAGCUAAUCUCUUAAAACCAUUCUCAGUUCGGACUGUAGGCUGCAACUCGCCUACACGAAGUCGGAAUCGCUAGUAAUCGCGGAUCAGCAUGCCGCGGUGAAUACGUUCCCGGGCCUUGUACACACCGCCCGUCACACGCAUGAGAGUUUGUAACACCCAAAGCCGGUGGGGUA